rnacentral:lncRNA from 1 species
CUCCGCCCUCCCCCAACCUCACCUCACCUGCUAUUGGUUGGGACAGAUGGUGAGGUCACACACAGUCCUGAGAGGGAACCUGGAGCAGUGAAGCUGCUUGCAACAUCUGUGGUUCCCAACUGAGUCUCAGCCGUGAGUGAGUUAACUGCUGCACAAGAGAAGACAGGUUGCCGUUGGCAUUUUGAGAAAACCCUGGACAUUUUGCCCAAUUUAAAAAAUCCACCCGGACAGAAAUUUCACCAUUAAAAAAGAGGACAUUUCCAGGAAAAGGAGGAUGUAUGGCAACCCUUGCUAUAAGGACGGUUUGUGCCUCUUAUGCGGCAGAUCCAGGUAUUGGGUGAAAGGUCUCUCUAGUCCAACUUUCUGCUUCCCAUGUUGACCAGUCAGAUUGCUAGUGCUCAGGUCAGAAGUCCAGAAGCAAGACAUGAGUGCAAUAGCUGUCUCCCAUAGUUGUCCCCCAGUGAGUGGUAUUCAGAGUCAUGCUACCUCUGAUCCUGAAUGCAACCAGCCAGUGUGGCUAGUAGCCAUUCAUAGGCUUCUCCUUCAUGAAUUUGUCUAAUCCCCUUUUAAAGCCGUCCAACGAAUGCAGUUGUAACAAGGAAGUGACCCAUGUAGUUUCAUCAGGCUGCUUUUAUUCAACAGAUUCCCUUCCAUUUGUUUCAGAUCCACUCUAAAUACACCUUCCCUCUCCCCAUGCUAUAUUUCUGCCAAGCUGACAUUCUGAAUGCUAGAGGAGAAGGCACAGCUUCUCACACGCACAGUAAAUAAGGCUGAGAUUACCGGUAGUGUGGAAUGGGACUGACUAUUGCAAUAUUUAAUCUGCUGGGUGGGCAUAUCAUUAAAAUGGAUAUCCAGGGCUUUAAUCAUGAUGCCAAGCUGCCAUCUGCCUCCUCCAUGCUCCCUCUUGGCUUAGGCCGGGGCUCAAUAUACGAGGGGACAGCUUGCAAGAGCACCGUCGUCAUAAUUCAUCUUCUGAGCACGAUGGCACAAGCUGUUUUGGCUUGAUGAAUCCCUGCCAUAUAAACAUGCGUUCCCCAUUAAAGCUGCUCAAGCAGGCAAUUAGACCUUGGAUGAGGUUAGGGGCAGAGGACCAAGCUGCCACUUGUUCUUCGGUGCUGGACGAAUGGGGUGCUGCAUCCCCUAAGAAGCUUUCAGAAGCACCUUAGAUAAUUUAAUCAAACAUGGUGUUCACUAGUGAAAUGAUGUGAGAGGUGAAUGUUUCCACCCAGAGCUUGGCUUGCUUUUCUUUCACUGUACAAGGCACAAAUAUGGAAGGCAUGCAGGUUUCAUGUUUCCAUAGAAUUCCACCAAACGCCAACAAAAUAGGAGUUCAACAUAGGUUGCUCAAGAGACUGAACUGCAGGCAGCUAUUGGAGAUGAGCGCUGGGAUCAAUGCCAGAGAACUGGGAAUGCAUUGAAAUACAUCAGAGUCAGAAAGAUUUUUUAUUUUGCUUUGGGUACAUCUCAGCCCAAAAAGAAAGCCUUUUAUACCCAUUCUUUUCCCAGAUCAGAGGUGGGGAACCUCAGAACUGGGAAGUCUCCCUACUUGACCCUCAGAACUCUCCCCAGGUCACACCCCCUCCCAAGCCACAUCCUCCCCAAGCCACACCCCUCACCAUCCUUGCUUGGCAUCCUCAUGAGUGUUUUUGUCAGGCUAGAAUGUGUCCUUGGACUCUGGGAAUGCCUCUUGCUUGGCUGGAUGGAAGAGAGAGAAGGUGUGUGUGUGUGUGUGUGUGUGUGUGUGUGUGUGUGUGUAGGUUGGGCUGCUAUGCAAAGCCAAGAUUUAGAUGCAUUGCUGCACGCACUGCUGCUCUAGCCAUGCCCACAACUGACACAUGUGAUCUGAGUGGUUACCCAGCAGACAAUAAGCCCUCUGCAAAAGUUGGCAGAAAAAUAAACAUGAAUUUUGCCUUUUUAGUAUGCUAGUUUCUUUACACUCACACACCACUAUCAUCCAUCAAGGUAACAUUUGGCCCCUGGGUCCUGAGGUUCUUCUUAUGUUCUUAAUAGUUUCAGAGUUGCCAAAUGCAGUAUCCUUCAACCACCCAAGGCCUUGAAUAGUAACAUUUUUUAAUUUCCCCUGUAUACACUAAUGAUGAGGGGGGCAGGGACAACUCAACAAACAGGGCAUCGCAUAACCAGGGGGCUAGUUCUGAGAAAACCCUGCCAGGAAGUUUAGGAGCAUUAUUCUCAGUUAAGGAUGAGGGUUGAUUGCCUUUCCACAGCUGGUUACUUCCUACACCCCUUCUCAAAGCUAAGUUUGGGCUUACCGUGUUUUCUGUUCUGCUUGAAAUUGGGGUGUAGGGAGAGGGUGGGAACUUGGUGAGGGAGGGACUGGAUUCCAUUUUGUGCCAGACCUAAAUGCAGAAGGAGGUAGGAAAUGCUGCAUGAAGGCAGUAAUUUCCAUUCCAACCACUGCUCAUUGCAUGUAGCACUGUAUCCAUUCCCAACGCACUUUGAGUUCUGACCAAAAUUGCAUUAUUUGUUUCACUGUUUGCUGUGGCAGAAUUUUGCAUAAUUAAUCACAUUAUCAUUACGUUUUCCCACACCAUUCAUUUCAUGCAAAUGAGAGGUAAGAAGUCAUCACUGACAUGUCGUUUGUUGACCAAAAACAACAACAGCAAAUGCUAAUCAUACUUGCUGAUCGAUUUCUGCUUCAGACAUGAAACGAAUAAGCAAUUAUUGGCAAUUUCUGUUCUCAUUUUCAUUUCUGUCAGAAUUCUCAGCAUCCUUAGUUUGUAGGCAAGGACGCAAGAAGGCAAGGAUUUGACCUUUGUCACAACCAGUGCUUUUUCCAUUCAACUGCAGUCCUGUUUCCACCAAAUGCUAUGUUGUUUGUCAUGCUAUCCACUAUUUGAUUUAAUUUAUGCAAGUUACAUAACUUACACUCAUUUCUAUGCAAAAGAUAUAGCAAAACAAUGUUCUGAAAUGUCAGUAAUUAUAUCUCAUUUGCAGGCUUGGAAAAGAACAAUGGUGUGACCAAUUGUAUUCAAUAACCUGAUUUAUGUCUCUGAUUGCAGGGAACUGCAACAAUUUCCGCUUUCUUUGAAUCACCUGUUCAGGUUUACCCACAACUGACAUUACUGAAUAUGCGGAUGGACAACAGGAAAGCUUAUUGCUGUAAAGAGCUUUUGACAUGGAUGUCAGCUGCAGCUAGGACUUUAAAAGCCAGCCUAGCAAUGGAAAACCUUGAAAAAUCUGCAUUUGUCUGUGUGGUAUAAGAACUUACGGACUUUGGCUAUUGUGGAAAAAAUAAACAUAUACUAUUUGUUUUCAGGGUGAGGGGUGAAGGAUUCUUCUGGUGGG